rnacentral:rRNA from 1 species
ACAGCAGCAGCCGCGGGAAUACAGAGGGUGCGAGCGUUAAUCGGAUUUACUGGGCGUAAAGCGUGCGUAGGCGGCUUCUUAAGUCGGAUGUGAAAUCCCUGAGCUUAACUUAGGAAUUGCAUUCGAUACUGGGAAGCUAGAGUAUGGGAGAGGAUGGUAGAAUUCCAGGUGUAGCGGUGAAAUGCGUAGAGAUCUGGAGGAAUACCGAUGGCGAAGGCAGCCAUCUGGCCUAAUACUGACGCUGAGGUACGAAAGCAUGGGGAGCAAACAGGAUUAGAUACCCCGGUAGUCCCUGUCUCUUAUAU